rnacentral:RNase_P_RNA from 1 species
AUCAAGGCAAGGGUGAAAAGGUGUGGUAAGAGCACACCGGCUAAGUUGGUAACAACUAGCGCAUGGAAAACCCCACUGAGAGCAAAACUGAGUAGAGAUGACAUUGUUUAAUAACUAAAAGCAGUCUUUGGCUAGUCAUCAGGGUUAGUUGCUUGAGCCUUAAAGCGAUUUAAGGCCUAGAUAAAUGAUAAGUUUAAAAGACAGAACCCGGCUUACAGUCUAUCUGGCAAA